rnacentral:other from 1 species
CAUCCCCUGCUUUGUUCGUGAUGGGCCUUUUUAAACCCACAUUUAUAAUAAGGGACUCCAGACUCUCCCGGUGAAUUGCAGGCCUCCCGGGCCGCGCUCGACGCGGUUUGGAAGUUGGAAGCAGCGAAAUCGGGAGGAGGGGACCCACCUGCCAUAAGGUGCAGGUUAUAAAUGGGCCUACACGGCACGGCGGGGGUUUU